GUGGCCUACGGGGCGCAGCAGUGGGGAAUAUUGGGCAAUGGGCGCAAGCCUGACCCAGCAAUGCCGCGUGAAGGAAGAAGGCUUUCGGGUUGUAAACUUCUUUGACAGGGGAAGAGUAGAAGACGGUACCUGUCGAAUAAGCCACGGCUAACUAUGUGCCAGCAGCCGCGGUAAUACGUAGGUGGCAAGCGUUGUCCGGAUUUACUGGGUGUAAAGGGCGUGUAGCCGGGUUGACAAGUCAGAUGUGAAAUCCUGCGGCUUAACCGCAGAACUGCAUUUGAAACUGUUGAUCUUGAGUACUGGAG
rnacentral:rRNA from 1 species